GAUCCUGGCUCAGGAUGAACGCUAGCUACAGGCUUAACACAUGCAAGUCGAGGGGCAGCACGGUCUUAGCUUGCUAAGGCCGAUGGCGACCGGCGCACGGGUGAGUAACACGUAUCCAACCUGCCGUCUACUCUUGGGCAGCCUUCUGAAAGGAAGAUUAAUACAAGAUGGCAUCAUGAGUCCGCAUGUUCACAUGAUUAAAGGUAUUCCGGUAGACGAUGGGGAUGCG
rnacentral:rRNA from 1 species